GGAUUUCUGUUAAUAAUUUAUAUAAAAUAUUUUGAUGAAUAUUUAUAUAAUAUUAACAUAAUUCAUAUUACUAUAUAUUUUAGUAUAUGAAAUUUUACUUUGAGAAAAUUAGAGUGCUUAAAGCAGGCAUAUGCCUUGAAUACUCCAGCAUGGAAUAAUAUUAAAGAUUUUUAUCUUUCUUAUUGGUUUUAAGAUAAGAAUAAUGAUUAAUAGGGACAGUUGGGGGCAUUUGUAUUUAACAGUCAGAGGUGAAAUUCUUAGAUUUGUUAAAGACAAACUAAUGCGAAAGCAUUUGCCAAGGAUGUUUUCAUUAAUCAAGAACGAAAGUUAGGGGAUCGAAGACGAUCAGAUACCGUCGUAGUCUUAACCAUAAACUAUGCCAACUAGAGAUUGGAGGUUGUUCCUUACUCCUUCA
rnacentral:rRNA from 1 species